GCCGGGUGUGGCAGUGCACACCUGUAACCCGAGCUACUCAGGAGGCUGAGGCAGGAGAAUCACUUGAACCCAGGAGGUGGAGGUUGCAGUGAGCUGAGAUCAGGCCACUGCACUCUAGCCUCGGUGACAGAGUGAGAUUCUGUCUCAA
ensembl:misc_RNA Metazoa_SRP Metazoan signal recognition particle RNA